rnacentral:piRNA from 1 species
UGCCAGCGCCUGGCCCCGCAAACGCAG